CCUACGGGGGGCAGCAGUGAGGAAUAUUGGUCAAUGGCCGGAAGGCUGAACCAGCCAUGCCGCGUGAAGGUCAGUGCCCUAUGGGCGUUAAACUUCUUUUGUGCGGGAGCAAUAAUGGUCACGUGUGGCCAGACGAGAGUACCGUACGAAUAAGCAUCGGCUAACUCCGUGCCAGCAGCCGCGGUAAUACGGGGGAUGCAAGCGUUAUCCGGAUUUAUUGGGUUUAAAGGGUGCGUAGGCUGGGAGGUAAGUCAGCGGUGAAAUGCCCCCGCUCAGGGGGGUGAAGUGCCAUUGAUACUGGCGGGCGGGAGGGCGGAGGGGGGGGGAGGAAGGUGGGGGGUAGCGGUGAAGUGCGUAGAGAG
rnacentral:rRNA from 1 species